rnacentral:rRNA from 1 species
AGCAGCCGCGGUAAUUCCAGCUCCAAUAGCGUAUAUUAAAGUUGUUGCAGUUAAAAAGCUCGUAGUUGAAUUUCGAGAUCAAAUUGUUGGUCGUGCCUUGGUACGCACUGGCAUUAUUGGUUUCUCCCUUCUGACGAACCAUGAUGUCAUUAAUUUGGUGUCUUGGGGAAUCAGGACUGUUACUUUGAAAAAAUUAGAGUGUUUAAAGCAGGCUCACGCUUGAAUACAUUAGCAUGGAAUAAUGAAAUAGGACGUUUGAUUCUAUUUUGUUGGUUUCUAGGAUCGACGUAAUGAUUAAUAGGGAUAGUUGGGGGCAUUAGUAUUCAAUUGUCAGAGGUGAAAUUCUUGGAUUUAUUGAAGACUAACUACUGCGAAAGCAUUUGCCAAGGAUGUUUUCAUUAAUCAAGAACGAAAGUUAGGGGAUCGAAGACGAUCAGAUACCGUCGUAGUCUUAACCAUAAACUAUGCCGACUAGGGAUCGG